rnacentral:rRNA from 1 species
GACGAACGCUGGCGGCGUGCCUAAUACAUGCAAGUUGAGCGAUGAAGCUUGGUGCUUGCACCAAUUUGAAGAGCAGCGAACGGGUGAGUAACGCGUGGGGAAUCUGCCUUUGAGCGGGGGACAACAUUUGGAAACGAAUGCUAAUACCGCAUAACAACUUUAAACAUAAGUUUUAAGUUUGAAAGAUGCAAUUGCAUCACUCAAAGAUGAUCCCGCGUUGUAUUAGCUAGUUGGUGAGGUAAAGGCUCACCAAGGCGAUGAUACAUAGCCGACCUGAGAGGGGGAUCGGCCACAUUGGGACUGAGACACGGCCCAAACUCCUACGGGAGGCAGCAGGAGGGAAUCUUCGGCAAUGGACGAAAGUCUGACCGAGCAACGCCGCGUGAGUGAAGAAGGUUUUCGGAUCGUAAAACUCUGUUGGUAGAGAAGAACGUUGGUGAGAGUGGAAAGCUCAUCAAGUGACGGUAACUACCCAGAAAGGGACGGCUAACUACGUG